rnacentral:rRNA from 1 species
ACGGAAGGCAGCAGCUAAGAAUAUUCCGCAAUGGGGGGAACCCUGACGGAGCGACGCCGCGUGGAUGAUGAAGGCCGGAAGGUUGUAAAAUCCUUUUGGACCUGAGGAAUAAGUGGUGCAGGAAAUGGCACCAUGGUGACGGUAGGGUCUGAAUAAGCAACGGCUAAUUACGUGCCAGCAGCCGCGGUAACACGUAAGUUGCGAGCGUUGUUCGGAAUUAUUGGGCGUAAAGGGCAUGUAGGCGGACCGUCAAGUCCGGUGUGAAAUCCCGGGGCUCAACCCCGGAACUGCACUGGAAACUGGCGGACUUGAGUCACCGAGGGGGAACCAGAAUUCCAGGUGUAGGGGUGAAAUCUGUAGAUAUCUGGAAGAAUACCAAUGGCGAAGGCAGGUUUCCAGCGGAUGACUGACGCUGAGGUGCGAAGGUGCGGGGAGCAAACAGGAUUAGAUACCCUGGUA